GGAGUUGUGGCUCAGUGACAGAGCACUCACCUAGCAUGUGUGAGGCCCUGGGUUCAAUCUGCAGCACCA
rnacentral:tRNA from 1 species